rnacentral:sRNA from 1 species
CGCAGGUUCGGGUCUCACGCAGUGAGACAACGGAGCCGUUUACGGCGACGGCCCGUAGGGCGAGCGAAGCGAGUCAUCCUGCACGACCCACCA